UGGGGAAUAUUGCACAAUGGGGGAAACCCUGAUGCAGCGACGCCGCGUGAACGAAGAAGGUCUUCGUAUCGUAAAGUUCUGUCCUAUGGGAAGAUAAUGACAGUACCAUAGAAGAAAGCUCCGGCUAAAUACGUGCCAGCAGCCGCGGUAAUACGUAUGGAGCGAGCGAUGUCCGGAAUUAUUGGGCGUAAAGGGUACGCAGGCGGUUUAAUAAGUCGAAUGUUAAAGUUCGGGGCUCAACCCCGUAAAGCAUUGGAAACUGAUAAACUUGAGUAGUGGAGAGGAAAGUGGAAUUCCUAGUGUAGUGGUGAAAUACGUAGAUAUUAGGAGGAAUACCAGUAGCGAAGGCGACUUUCUGGACACAAACUGACGCUGAGGUACGAAAGCGUGGGGAGCAAACAGG
rnacentral:rRNA from 1 species